CGUAGGGCGCAAGCGUUGUCCGGAAGUAUUGGGCGUAAAGAGCUCGUAGGCGGCUUGUCACGUCGGGUGUGAAAGCCCGGGGCUUAACCCCGGGUCUGCAUUCGAUACGGGCUAGCUAGAGUGUGGUAGGGGAGAUCGGAAUUCCUGGUGUAGCGGUGAAAUGCGCAGAUAUCAGGAGGAACACCGGUGGCGAAGGCGGAUCUCUGGGCCAUUACUGACGCUGAGGAGCGAAAGCGUGGGGAGCGAACAGG
rnacentral:rRNA from 1 species